rnacentral:sRNA from 2 species
AAUUGAAUAAAAAAACAUUUACUAAACGGAAAUCGGUGAAAGUCCGAUGCGGUCCCGCCACUGUGAUUAGCUUUUUAAGCUAUUAGUCAGAUCUUUUUAGUAAAAUGUCUGAACCGCAUUCUGUCUCGUGGUAUGGAUAGGGUGUUUU